AGUGAACGCUGGCGGCAGGCCUAACACAUGCAAGUCGAACGGCAGCACAGUAAGAGCUUGCUCUUACGGGUGGCGAGUGGCGGACGGGUGAGGAAUACAUCGGAAUCUACUUUUUCGUGGGGGAUAACGUAGGGAAACUUACGCUAAUACCGCAUACGACCUACGGGUGAAAGCAGGGGAUCUUCGGACCUUGCGCGAUUGAAUGAGCCGAUGUCGGAUAGCUAGUUGGCGGGGUAAAGGCCCACCAAGGCGACGACCCGUAGCUGGUCUGAGAGGAUGAUCAGCCACACUGGAACUGAGACACGGUCCAGACUCCUACGGGAGGCAGCAGUGGGGAAUAUUGGACAAUGGGCGCAAGCCUGAUCCAGCCAUACCGCGUGGGUGAAGAAGGCCUUCGGGUUGUAAAGCCCUUUUUUUGGGAAAGAAAAGCAGCAGGUUAAUACCCCGCUGUUCUGACGGUACCCAAAGAAUAAGCACCGGCUAACUUCGUG
rnacentral:rRNA from 1 species